AUGCCGGAUGCUCCGACUCCUCGCAUGGGGUGUCGGGAAAGAUUUCAUCGGUAUGGGAUGGGGUCGCGUCCUAUCAGGUAGUCGGCGGGGUAACGGCCCACCGAGCCUACGACGGGUAGCCGGCCUGAGAGGGCGACCGGCCACAUUGGGACUGAGAUACGGCCCAGACUCCUACGGGAGGCAGCAGUGGGGAAUAUUGCACAAUGGGCGCAAGCCUGAUGCAGCGACGCCGCGUGCGGGAUGACGGCCUUCGGGUUGUAAACCGCUUUUGAUCGGGAGCAAGCCUUCGGGUGAGUGUACCUUUCGAAUAAGCACCGGCUAACUACGUGCCAGCAGCCGCGGUAAUACGUAGGGUGCAAGCGUUAUCCGGAAUUAUUGGGCGUAAAGGGCUCGUAGGCGGUUCGUCGCGUCCGGUGUGAAAGUCCAUCGCUUAACGGUGGAUCUGCGCCGGGUACGGGCGGGCUGGAGUGCGGUAGGGGAGACUGGAAUUCCCGGUGUAACGGUGGAAUGUGUAGAUAUCGGGAAGAACACCA
rnacentral:rRNA from 1 species